CCUACGGGAGGCAGCAGUGAGGAAUAUUGGUCAAUGGACGAGAGUCUGAACCAGCCAAGUAGCGUGAAGGAUGACUGCCCUAUGGGUUGUAAACUUCUUUUAUAAAGGAAUAAAACGAGGCACGUGUGCCUUUUUGCAUGUACUUUAUGAAUAAGGAUCGGCUAACUCCGUGCCAGCAGCCGCGGUAAUACGGAGGAUCCGAGCGUUAUCCGGAUUUCUUGGGUUUAAAGGGAGCGUAGAUGGGUUGUUAAGUCAGUUGUGAAAGUUUGCGGCUCAACCGUAAAAUUGCAAUUGAUACUGGCAGUCUUGAGUACAGUUGAGGUAGGCGGAAUUCGUGGUGUAGCGGUGAAAUGCGUAGAUAUCACGAAGAACCCCGAUUGCGAAGGCAGCUUACUAAACUGUGACUGACAUUGAUGCUCGAAAGUGUGGGUAUCAAACAGGAUUAGAUACCCGGGUAGUC
rnacentral:rRNA from 1 species